GCACCACAGAGCAGAUCAACUGAAAACACCAGCUACCAGGAAACCUUGGGUAACAAAUUGGAUUUUAGCCAGCAGAACUGACAUCUGUCCUGUGGAGAGUGAAACCACACAGCACAGCAGCCUGGCACCUUUGUGUAAGGUGUACAGAGGACACACCCAGGAAGUUUGCCACCCCC